CUACAUCUCAUCGGCUUGAUGUAAGAGCAUGGAACUGCUUUAGUUAUUAUUUUAGCAAAAUAACGAUAACCACGGUUGCAAUGGAGAGCAUCCAGAAUCUCCCAAUUGACAUCCAAACCAGUAACCUUUUGGACUGGUUGGUGGACUGGAGGCACUGCACGCUGAAAUGGCAAAGUGCAGUUAUGACAAUUAAAGAGAAAAUCAAUGCUGCCAUUCAGGAUAUGCCAUAGAAAGAGGAGAACAAACAAUUGCUCUCUGGCUCAUGCAAAUAAAUAAUAGUACAAACUUAUUUAUUUUUGUUUGACAGUUACUCAUACAUUGUUGCUUUUGCAGGUAUUCACUAUUGUCAUUGUUUAGGAAUAAUUGAAAUAUUAAAAAGGAACAGAAGCAUCCACCAAAAAUAUUUUUGACUUGGAGACGUUGGAGAAGCUUAAACAAACAGUCUUUAAUGAACUCACAAAUCCAGGAGAAACACAGAGCAGGUAGGAACACAAGGAUGACAUAAAACACCAGACGCCAAACACCGGGUUUAAGUAACUGGAGACAAACGAGAUAAUUAAUAAAAACCAGCUGGAACUAAUGGAACUAAUUAGGGACAGGAACAGGAAGAACCAAAUAUGGGCAUAAGGAAACAGGGAAAACCAGGAACACAUAGGGAGGAAAACAACAAAACGGGAACAAAAGUCUGACAUAUUCAUCACAAAGGAUGAAGAACUGGCAAGAGAUCGUGUUCCUGUAUGAAAAAGACCAUGUCUAUUUAGCUAUGUGGAGCGUGUUUCAGAAUUACUGCGGCAGAAACUCAAGUAGGCUGAUAUCUUGGUGUUGAAGCGUGGCACACUGGCUGAAAAAGGACAGGAGGCUCUGGAAGAACAGGCCAAGCUGGAGCCCCGCAUUGAUCUCCUGGCUGCUCACACCAAGGAGCUCCAGAAACUGAUUGAAGCUGACAUCUCAAAAAGAUACAACAACCGGCCUGUCAACCUCAUGGGAGUUCAUGUGUGACCAGGAAGAGUAUUUACAUACUGCACAGAUGUAUAAUUUCAUAAAUAUAUUUUUACCAUUUAAAUUGGGAGGGUAAUUGUUUUGUGGUGAUUCCUUUUUAUGGUGGAAUAAAAUUGUUGCAAUCACAGCGCUUUGAAUAUUCAAUGAAGGCUGUAAAUAACUUGCGCUUACACAGCUGGCCUCAUUAGUCUGAAGUGCUGAAUUCAGUAAAUGAACUGUCUUAAGAGGCCAACAUUUAAAUAUACAAU